AUUUCUCCUGUUUUCUAAGACAUGGAUUACAACAUAUUAAAGAAUAAUGAGCUUGGUACCACAAUGACUAAUUGAUUGAACAAUCAAAGAGAAUAAGUAAAGGAUCGAGUAUAACCUCAUAUUAUGUGUUGUGCACUGUAAUUGUAGGUCGAGACGAGGACAUUGUACCAUUACCACCGGGAACCGAUCACUGUAACCAACCAAGUGGUCAGUCCUAGUCAUGACACCUGUUUUCUUUUGUCAACCUUCGUGGGUUCAGGCACUGCACGAAGCCAUUUAUUUUUGUAAAGUCUAUUGAAAUGUUGGCUUAAUUUUGAUUACCCAUUUAAAGUUAAAGAGGUAGAACUUCAAUGAUUUUUAUAUAAGCCCAAUGAUGGGGCUGGGUCUGUACAUAUGGUUGUUUAUCACCGAUGCUACAACAUAUGGUUUGGAGCUUUAUCUAUUUUCCAUGAUGAAUGUGAUGUAUAAGAGGUCCUGGCAUGUAGAUGUA